UUUUUGGCCCUUCUUGGUCUCUCCAACCCCUGUGACAUACCACUUGUUGCCUCGGCGGAUCAGCCCGCUCCCGGUAAAACGGGACGGCCCGCCAGAGGACCCCUAAACUCUGUUUCUAUAUGUAACUUCUGAGUAAAACCAUAAAUAAAUCAAAACUUUCAACAACGGAUCUCUUGGUUCUGGCAUCGAUGAAGAACGCAGCAAAAUGCGAUAAGUAAUGUGAAUUGCAGAAUUCAGUGAAUCAUCGAAUCUUUGAACGCACAUUGCGCCCGCCAGUAUUCUGGCGGGCAUGCCUGUUCGAGCGUCAUUUCAACCCUCAAGCACAGCUUGGUGUUGGGACUCGCGUUAAUUCGCGUUCCUCAAAUUGAUUGGCGGUCACGUCGAGCUUCCAUAGCGUAGUAGUAAAACCCUCGUUACUGGUAAUCGUCGCGGCCACGCCGUUAAACCCCAACUUCUGAAUGUUGACCUCGGAUCAGGUAGGAAUACCCGCUGAACUUAAGCAUAUCAAUAAGCGGAGGAA
rnacentral:rRNA from 1 species